rnacentral:rRNA from 1 species
AACGAACGGCUGGCGGCAUGCCUAACACAUGCAAGUCGAACGAGACCUUCGGGUCUAGUGGCGCACGGGUGCGUAACGCGUGGGAAUCUGCCCUUCGGUUCGGAACAACAGUUAGAAAUGACUGCUAAUACCGGAUAAUGACGUAAGUCCAAAGAUUUAUCGCCGAAGGAUGAGCCCGCGUAAGAUUAGGUAGUUGGUGGGGUAAUGGCCUACCAAGCCGACGAUCUUUAGCUGGUCUGAGAGGAUGAUCAGCCACACUGGGACUGAGACACGGCCCAGACUCCUACGGGAGGCAGCAGUGGGGAAUAUUGGACAAUGGGCGAAAGCCUGAUCCAGCAAUGCCGCGUGAGUGAUGAAGGCCUUAGGGUUGUAAAGCUCUUUUACCAGGGAUGAUAAUGACAGUACCUGGAGAAUAAGCUCCGGCUAACUCCGUG